rnacentral:rRNA from 1 species
UGACGAAGCGACGCCGCGUGUGGGAAGAAGGCCUUCGGGUUGUAAACCACUGUCGGGAGUUAGGAAAUGCAGGUGCGUUAAUAGCGCACUUGCUUGACUAAGGCUCCAGAGGAAGCCACGGCUAACUCUGUGCCAGCAGCCGCGGUAAUACAGAGGCGGCAAGCGUUGUUCGGAAUUAUUGGGCGUAAAGAGCACGUAGGCGGCCUUGCAAGUCAGUUGUGAAAGCCUUCCGCUUAACGGAAGAACGGCAUCUGAUACUACAGGGCUUGAGUACGGGAGGGGAGAGUGGAACUUCUGGUGGAGCGGUGAAAUGCGUAGAUAUCAGAAGGAACGCCGGCGGCGAAAGCGACUCUCUGGUCCGAAACUGACGCUGAGUGUGCGAAAGCUAGGGGAGCAAACGGGAUUAGAUACCCCGGUAGUCCUAGCCGUAAACGAUGGGCACUAAGUAGAGGGGUUU